UACGUAGGGUGCGAGCGUUGUCCGGAUUUAUUGGGCGUAAAGAGCUCGUAGGCGGUUCGUCGCGUCGGCUGUGAAAUCCCGGAACUCAACUCCGGGUCUGCAGUCGAUACGGGCGGACUCGAGUUCGGCAGGGGAGACUGGAAUUCCUGGUGUAGCGGUGAAAUGCGCAGAUAUCAGGAGGAACACCGGUGGCGAAGGCGGGUCUCUGGGCCGAUACUGACGCUGAGGAGCGAAAGCGUGGGGAGCGAACAGG
rnacentral:rRNA from 1 species